rnacentral:rRNA from 1 species
UACGGAGGGUGCGAGCGUUAAUCGGAAUUACUGGGCGUAAAGCGUGCGUAGGCGGCUAUCUAAGUCGGGUGUGAAAGCCCCGGGCUCAACCUGGGAAUUGCAUUCGAGACUGAAUAGCUAGAGUACGGUAGAGGGAAGCGGAAUUUCCGGUGUAGCGGUGAAAUGCGUAGAUAUCGGAAGGAACAUCAGUGGCGAAAGCGGCUUCCUGGACCAGUACCGACGUUCAGGCACGAAAGCGUGGGGAGCAAACAGG